rnacentral:rRNA from 1 species
UCCUACGGGAGGCAGCAGUGAGGAAUAUUGGUCAAUGGCCGAGAGGCUGAACCAGCCAAGUAGCGUGCAGGACGACGGCCCUAUGGGUUGUAAACUGCUUUUAUCGGGGGAUAAAGUCAGCUACGUGUAGCUGUUUGUAGGUACCCGAUGAAUAAGGACCGGCUAAUUCCGUGCCAGCAGCCGCGGUAAUACGGAAGGUCCGGGCGUUAUCCGGAUUUAUUGGGUUUAAAGGGAGCGCAGGCCGGAGGCUAAGCGUGACGUGAAAUGUAGACGCUCAACGUCUGAAUUGCGUCGCGAACUGGUUUUCUUGAGUGAGUACGACGUGUACGGAAUUCGUGGUGUAGCGGUGAAAUGCUUAGAUAUCACGAAGAACCCCGAUUGCGAAGGCAGUGCACGAGUCCUUUACUGACGCUAAAGCUCGAAAGUGCGGGUAUCGAACAGGAUUAGAUACCCUGGUAGUCC